CAGUCGCCACGGUAAAACGGAGGGUGCAAGCGUUAUCCGGAUUUAUUGGGUUUAAAGGGUCCGUAGGCGGAUCUGUAAGUCAGUGGUGAAAUCUCACAGCUUAACUGUGAAACUGCCAUUGAUACUGCAGGUCUUGAGUAAAUUUGAAGUGGCUGGAAUAAGUAGUGUAGCGGUGAAAUGCAUAGAUAUUACUUAGAACACCAAUUGCGAAGGCAGGUCACUAAGAUUUAACUGACGCUGAUGGACGAAAGCGUGGGGAGCGAACAGGAUUAGAUACCCCAGUAGUCCCUGUCUCUUAUAC
rnacentral:rRNA from 1 species